GACGAGCGCUGGCGGCGUGCUUAACACAUGCAAGUCGAACGGAAAGGCCCCCUUGUGGGGUACUCGAGUGGCGAACGGGUGAGUAACACGUGAGUAACCUACCCUUGACUUUGGGAUAACUUCAGGAAACUGGGGCUAAUACCGGAUAGGAGCUCCUGCUGCAUGGUGGGGGUUGGAAAGUUUCGGCGGUUGGGGAUGGACUCGCGGCUUAUCAGCUUGUUGGUGGGGUAGUGGCUCACCAAGGCUUUGACGGGUAGCCGGCCUGAGAGGGUGACCGGCCACAUUGGGACUGAGAUACGGCCCAGACUCCUACGGGAGGCAGCAGUGGGGAAUAUUGCACAAUGGGCGGAAGCCUGAUGCAGCAACGCCGCGUGCGGGAUGACGGCCUUCGGGUUGUAAACCGCUUUCGCCUGUGACGAAGCGUGAGUGACGGUAAUGGGUAAAGAAGCACCGGCUAACUACGUG
rnacentral:rRNA from 1 species